CAAUGCCACCACUGCUGCACUGCGCAGUCUGCACUAGUCGAAGGGGAGAAAUAACCAAUUUGUUUGGCGAUCGAACAUAGGUCCCCGUCACUCUGAAGCAGGAAAUAGGAAGCGACCGUAUAAUAUAUACCCAGAAAACCAAAACCCUAUUUUGAGUCUUAAAUUUUCCGUGAGAUUCCUGCGGAUUAUCAUCUUCUUUUGGCCGUUUCACAAAAAAUCAGAGGAGAAGACGAUGAAAGUCAAGCUCUUACGUAUCCUUCUCAUAUAUAUGGUGUUUUGUUUGUUUGCAGUACUGAAAAUUUCUGGUUUUUUUUUUUUAUAAGUUCCUGGGUUAUCUUAUAUGGGCUGAGGGAAUUGGGACUUUUGUGAAUUCUGUGUAUCAAAUUUGAUAGAUGCUCAUACUCUGAUGGGCUUGAGUAACUCCCGUGGUUGCUGAGAAAAUAUGAUAUUCUGUCUGUUUCAGCGUUUGUCACUGCAUUCUAUCUUCCUUGUAUGAUUGUGCAAUUUUGGGAAGACAUCAUUUGUUUUAUACCCAAUUGUCGGGUAUGCGGAGUAAAGAUAUCAUUUUUAUUGCGUUUUGCUCUCAUGGCUUUAUCCAAUAAUUCCGCCAUUGUACUGUCAGCUAUCUUUUCUAUGAGAACACCAUUUGCCCCUUUCAUGACGUUAGGACUGUUCCUGUUACCUUGAGAGAAAUCAAUUAUGUCGAUUCCAUGUUUGGAUGUGAAUAUGAAUUGUAAUAUACUUUCCUUUCCCAAUUUGACAUUAUGAGUAAACAGUUUUCUCUCAACCUACCUUCUUUCUGAUUGUCCGCCGUGGCUUCUAAACAGAGUGGCAUGCUGUUGCGUCAUGGACUUGGGAUGCUCAAGAUGAAACAUGUGGGAUCUGUAGGAUGCCCUUUGAUGGAUGUUGCCCUGACUGUAAACUCCCUGGAGAUGAUUGCCCCUUAAUUUGGGGUGUAUGCAACCAUGCUUUCCAUCUUCACUGCAUCUUGAAGUGGGUGAAUUCACAGACUUCUCAAGCUCAUUGUCCCAUGUGCCGUAGAGAAUGGCAGUUUAAGGGAUGAAGAAUUCUAUUUCUAUCCUCCCUUGCCAGAGAUGUUCUCGGUUAUCUUGCAGUCUUCUCAUUGUUGUUGUCACUAAAGUUUUCCACAGUUCUUGGUCUUUUAACAAAUGUUUGUGUCAUACUCAAUGCUAGCAUAUUAUUAUCUUUAUAUGAACCAAAGAAAGAUCAACUUGAAGCUUUCUAUAUAGUUAGCCUUUUCUUUGUUGUUGUCUGUAUUAUUUCUCAUGGUAUCUUGAUAGCGAACCUUUUCUUUGUUGUUGUCACUAAAGUUUUCCUCAGUUCUUGGUCUUUUAACAAAUGUUUGUGUCAUUCUCAAUGCUAGCAUAUUAUUAUCUUUAUAUGAACCAAAGAAAGAUCAACUUGAAGCUUUCUA